rnacentral:rRNA from 1 species
ACUACCGAUUGAAUGGUUUAGUGAGGCUUCCUGACUGGCGCCGAUACUCUGGCAACAGAGCGUCGGAUGCCGGAAAGUUGGUCAAACUUGAUCAUUUAGAGGAAGUAAAAGUCGUAACAAGGUUUCCGUAGGUGAACCUGCGGAAGGAUCAUUACCGAUGACCAUGCAGUUGUCUGCUCUGUGAACCGUACGCAAGCUUAUUCAGGGGUCGGCCCGGGGGGCCGUUAAAUGGCGAUCGGACGCGAGGCGAGCAUCUCGCGGCCGCUUCGCCUGCCCCGCCUUGGUUUUUUUUCAAACACACGUGUCUUGUCGUCUGAUGUGGAGGCGUCCGCCUCGUGAAGUAGAAAAGAAUACGAGAGACAACUUUUGACGGUGGAUCUCUUGGCUCACGCAUCGAUGAAGAACGCAGCCAGCUGCGAUAAGUAGUGUGAAUUGCAGAAUUCAGUGAAUCAUCGAAUCUUUGAACGCAAAUGGCGCUCUUGGGUUCUCCCAGGAGCAUGUCUGUCUGAGUGUCGGAUUGUCAUCCAUCGCGGGUGCGCGCUCCAGUGCGCGCGCCGGCGGCGUUGAGGCGUCACGGCCUUUCAGAAGAUGGGCCGUGUCCCUUGAAAGGCAGAGAGACUCGUUGCGGUUCGGGGCUCGUUCCCGCAGCGCAGCAGCGGAGGCCAAAAGUGUCAGCACUCCUUCGCGCGCUGCCGGGACCCCGCCGCGCCCGAGUCGUCGGGGCGAAAGAGACCAACCAUGCUCUUGACCUCAGAUCAGGCAAGGCUACCCGCUGAAUUUAAGCAUAUUAAUAAGCGGAGGAAAAGAAACUAACAAGGAUUCCCUCAGUAACGGCGAGUGAAGCGGGAAGAGCUCAAAUUUGAAAUCUCCGGUGCUUGCAUCGGCGAGUUGUAGUUGCGAGAAGCACUUUCUAGGUGGAUCGGCCGUGCCUAAGUUGCUUGGAACAGCACGUCGCAGAGGGUGACAACCCCGUCUGUGGCGCGGCCGGCCGCUGACGAUGUGCUUUCGAA